AUGUAUGUCUACGACAUUUUAUUUCCAGGACAAAUAAAAUGGCCCAUUCAUAGUUCACCGAGGCAUCAUCUUACUGUCGAUAUUAGCAGGAAAUUGCGUGCCACACAUGCAUAUUGCCGGAUACUUGGGGCUCAUUCCGUUUACAGGAUUUCGAAAUCAAAGAAAUUGAAAAGCGUGAGUCUCUUCUUGGUCCUGAAACAACGCUGGCUUCUCCCCCCUCUGCUUCGGUGGGAGCUCGUGGCGCUUGCUAUUGUAGAUAAGCUCGCGCUAGAGCUCCAAAUGAAAAUUAUGCAUGUUGCCUCCGUUGUUGGUGAUAAGAUGCAAGUCAAAUCAAGAUUUCCCCGCUGCAUCAUGUUUCAACAAGCUGAGUCUGGCUUAGUGGAGCCUGUUUGA
rnacentral:rRNA from 1 species